UCAAAAGAAGAAGGAAGGAAGAAGGAAGUGUAAGAAUAACUGCCCCAAAAGCAUAAUGGAAUAUUUCUGGUUCAUGCAUUCCUCCUUUUGGACUGUUUCUCCUUGGCUUGCAGAGAAAAUCUCCAAAAGGAGAGGGAUAUCCAUCACAUCGAGAUCUGGGAACACAGAGAGUCUUGUCCUGGACCUGGAGGACACUGGACUUCAUAUUCAUGUUAAUGCUUGGUUAUGCAGCUUGGUUAACAGGUCACAGUUUCACUCAUGGUGAAGGACUCCAAGAAGAAUGGUGAUGUGCUUCUGGGUGUGAUAUAAGCAGAAACAACCAUGAGCAUCUGCUAACACCCACAGGAGAGGAAAAAUGGCAUGAAAAAUUACUGGAUUGGAUACCAAAAUUGGAUUGGAAAAUCGGAUACCCAAAAUCCUUUGGGUAGACUCUGCACUUCUGAGGUGGGAUAUGGGAAGAGGCAGUUGUUGCUUGUGAUAUUUUAAAAACACUGUUCAGCUAAAUAUUCAACAAAUUGGUUUUUGAGCAUGAAUUAGAGUCAAAAUUGUGAAAGCGGUCACUCUUAUUGUAGGAGAAACUACAUAUCAAGACAGUAGCAGAAAUUGAAUGGGACUAUAGGGAAAUAUGGAGACUGUUACUGCGAAUUAGUGACUUCAGUUUUGUUCAUGGAUAUUUCAAAUGUGCUCACCAGGAAAUCACAGAAUCACAGAAUCACAGAAUCGACUGGGUUGGAAAAGACCUCAGAGAUCAUCGAGUCCAACCCUUGGUCCAACUCUAGUCCGUUUACUAGAUCAUGGCACUAAGUGCCAUGUCCAAUCUCAGUUUAAAAACCUCUAGGGAUGGCGAGUCCACUACCUCCCUGGGCAGGCCAUUCCAAUGCCUGAUAAAGUGCAAUAAUAAUAAAGUGCAAUAAGGAGAAACGUACUAUGCAUUAGUAUAAUGAGAUUAAAUUACAAGAAAAUAACAGAUUGACCCAUGGCCUAGAUCUGUAAUAGAUGUAACAGCAAGUUAAGGAGCACUGAAAUUCCAAGCACAGUUUUGCCAUAACUUCCUGUCUGGUCCCUUAUGCAAUAUAAAGGUGCAACAGAGUUCUGCCCUGUCUUGGUCUGGUCUGCAUGACCUUCCCACUUUGCUCCCUCCUGCUUUGCCAAAUCUUCUGCCCUUUCUGCUGUAUUUAGGAACCUCCGUCUUGCCCCUGCCUUCUACCUGUUCCCUCACAAUUCUUCCCCCUCCCGGGAAGAUGACACCUUUCCCAUACACUGUGGUCCUUUCCUUGAAAAAGUUUUCAUUUGGCCUUCCACUACAGAUCACUUCACCAAGGUUGCACCAAGGUACAGCUGCAGCAAUUUAACAGGGCUAUGGCAGAGCACCAGUUCUACUACCUGGGCCUGACUAUUGUUUAAUAUUCAGGGAAUACACUGCGGUAGAUGUAAGCUGUGCUUUUUUGGCAGUCAAGCUCCCAUUUGAUUUGCAAAUGUAGUUUUUAUGCUGUAUGCAUAAUUUAUAACACCAGAGACGAUACUGUAAAACUUGAGGAAAGCAAUUAUAAUGCUAUUAAAAACAAAGGAAGUGUCCCACAUGUUUAAUUUCUCUUCUGUUGAAAAAUAUUUACUCAUGAAUCCUGUAUACCAGUCAUUUGUGGUACAGCACUACAACCUCUGUGAUUUUAUGGUCCAGAAGCACCAGACUCGACUCUGGUUUGAGACUGGGAGAGCAGCUGUGGCCAUGCUCUGCAGUUUGGGUUGUGCCAACUUACGACCUGUGCCACCUUAUGACCAAACUGCACCUGGCAAAUCAUGUGUGCUUAGGCUCUUGCCUUCUGCUGCAGCUGCUUCCCCAUGAUCCCAAAGUGUGUGCUUCAUAUGACUGCCUAAGCCCAGCGCUGGUUUUGAGCCCUGAUCCUGAUCUCACCUGCUAAGGGAUAAGUAAGCAGCAAGAUCUACAUCAUGGAAGCAUGAAAAGAAAGUAGGUAGACUUUGUAAAACGGAAGUUUUAAAAAUAGAUUUUAGCAGUGUGUAAGACUAAUGCAAAGAGAGAGAGCAGGUCCCACAUGAGAUCUUUGGCACAGAGCCAGGUUCAAAUGUGCCUUACAUGCCCCCCCUGAGGACCCCCCAUCCUGUCCUGAACUGCUGCAAGCCAGCUGCACUGCCUCCUAUUUUAUCCCUUCUCCAGGUCUCCCAUGCAGGCAUGUCACCUUUUCUUUCUUCCUGUCCCCACCCAGUCUGGCUUCCACCUGCCUGAGGUCAGUGAGAUGAAUCAGGGCAACCUUCAAGCAGUUUUUACUUUUAGGAGCCACUGACCUGGCAACCAGAUUGAGAAGUGCUGAGAGUGCUUUGCUGCCAAGGUACCACAGUGCUAAGCUGCUUUGUCCUGCCUGAUUUUUUGGGGCUGUGUCAAUCAUGUUGUAGUUCUAGUCUUGGACGUUUGGUUUUAGUAGCACAGUUUAAAAUGUUCUGUCAAUAACAGGCAAGCUGAAAACUGCCUGAAAACCAGCUUACAAUUAGUAGCUCUCCAGAAGUUUGCAGAACACAUUGCACACAGAAUAAUGAUUUUGAUGUUUUCUGUCCUUUUCAUAAUGGAAAAGAGGGUAAGCCUCAGCUUCCCCAUGUCUGCAGGCAGGAGGGUACAACCCCAGAGUAAUGUGAAUAAAGCAAAACUGGAGAAGGUAAAGAAUCAGAAACUAGGUCACUGGAUGACAAAUAUGAAAUCCUACUUGUGAAAAAAUAUAAACUAAUACAUAUGGGGAAAAUGAUCUAAAACACAUUAUUCACCAAGGGAGUCAUGGAAAUAGGUAGGCUGAAAGAGACCGAAGUUUGAGAGUGGACAGUAAAUUAGACAUGAGUUUGCAACAUGUCAGCGAUGCAGUUUGGGCUGCGUACACAAAGGCACCACAUCAGAGAACAUGAUAAUAAACCCGCUCUUGACGCACCGGGUGCAACCACACCUGAAAGUUUCAGGGACUUUGAAGUCAGUGGAGCUGUGCCAAUUAACACCAGCUGAGCAUCUGCCUGUUGUGUUCGGUUAUCACUGCAUUGUUACUAGACAGCUAUUGACAAAUUGGAAGUAUAGAGUGGAAAUGAACAAAAAUUAAGAUUGAGCUGGUAAGGCUGACACAUGUAAAAUAUAUAUAUGUGAAUGAUUAAGUCAGCUCUAUAUGAAAAAUGUUCAAACAUUGGGAAAAUGCCAUUUAUUCAAACUCCAAACAGUUGGCUGGUUUCACUGUAGCUAUGAUGCCCUUUAGCUUAUCGUCCCUAAGGAUGUUAGUGGAAUGGUUGGCCUUUGAUUGCAGACAUUCACAUAAGAGCAAAGAUGUGUUUGUGAACAAACAUGGGUAACCAUUGUUAAAUACAGGGUCUCUUCCUGGAUGCAUGCCUCUUAUUGAUAUGCAUUUAGGCACCUCAGCAAGAGACCAGUUUUUUAGAUCUGAUAAUCACCCACAGUUGUGAUGAACAUCAACGGCAAGUGCUAAGAGCUUGAUCUUUCUGCAUGUCUGAUCUGUUAUAUAGAUGUUAAAUACUAGAUGUAUACACCCAAGUGUAGGUGUCUAGAUUUGAACUGCUUAGUGGACAACAGCUGAAGUUGCCAUGAAGAUACAAACAUUUUCCAUUUUGUUAUCUAAAGAUACACUGACCCUGACAGCUACUAAAGGCCAUUUAAUUCAAUGUCCCUUGAAAAGAAUUCCUAAAGAAGAAAGUUCCCUGACGUUCUGUAUAAGACUAUCCAGGACCUGAUCCAGAGCUCUGGAAGUCAGUGAAAAUCUUUCCAUUGACUUCAAAGUGUUUUGGACCAUUCCUAGAUAAUAGCACAAAUUUCACUUCAUUCUUUUUUUCCAAUUGGGUUGUCUGAAACUGCACAGUGUGUGAUUGAAUCCCGAUGUCCCUUGCAUAGCUUGCAUGCCAGCUCCCUUUAACACCUUCUGUGAAGCUUACGAUGUUAAAACAACACAUUCAGUUGCUGUAGGCAUCUUCUUUCCAAUCUGGACCCCAGCUGCUUGAGGUCUAACAGAUCAUCCUUAAAAGGACAAUGUGAAAGCAAAAAUUACUGUAUCUAGAGAAGCUAGUUUAGCUAGGCAUCUCUGAGUAUAUGACUAUAAAAAUUAUGAAGUUAAUCUAGCUUGGACACAAAAGCCUCAGCAGCAGCCAGCUGAUUACAAACUUAUGUAUUCAUUAACCUGGAUAAAAGUAAAGAUUUUUCAUGCUGCUAUUGGUUAUAAUGCAUAAGAGCCUCAGUGCCUGAACACGGAAUCUGACCACUUAACCAUUGGAGACCAAGACAACCCACAUCACAUGGGUUGAAUGAUUGCGAAUGUGAAUGUGAAUAUCUGAUCAGUUUUGCAGCAAGGCUUUUACUCACAGAAAAUGACAAAAUUUACAAAGUAUGCACUCAAAAAAAGCAUAUUAAAGACAGAUAAGCUUCAUAUAGUAAAAA